GGCACGGUGGUGAAGUGGUUAACACAUCUGUUUGCAGAACAGACAUUCGUCGGUUCGAAUCCGAUCCGUGCCU
rnacentral:tRNA from 7 species